rnacentral:rRNA from 1 species
UAGGGAAUCUUCGGCAAUGGACGAAAGUCUGACCGAGCAACGCCGUGAGAGUGAAGAAGGUUUUCGGAUCGUAAAACUCUGUUGUUAGAGAAGAACAAGGACGUUAGUAACUGAACGUCCCCUGACGGUAUCUAACCAGAAAGCCACGGCUAACUACGUGCCAGCAGCCGCGGUAAUACGUAGGUGGCAAGCGUUGUCCGGAUUUAUUCGGCGUAAAGCGAACGCAGGCGGUUUCUUAAGUCUGAUGUGAAAGCCCCCGGCUCAACCGGGGAGGGUCAUUGGAAACUGGGAGACUUGAGUGCAGAAGAUGAGAGUGGAAUUCCCUGUGUGGCGGUGAAAUGCGUGGAUAUAUGGAGGAACACCAGUGGCGAAGGCGGCUCUCUGGUCUGUAACUGACGCUGAGGCUCGAAAGCGUGGGGAGCAAACAGG